UACAGAGGUGGCAAGCGUUGUUCGGAAUUACUGGGCGUAAAGGGCGCGUAGGCGGUUCGAUAAGUCCUGUGUGAAAUCCCUCGGCUCAACUGAGGAACUGCACGGGAGACUGUCGGGCUUGAGUUCGGGAGAGGGAAGCGGAAUUCCGGGUGUAGCGGUGAAAUGCGUAGAUAUCCGGAGGAACACCGGUGGCGAAGGCGGCUUCCUGGACCGGCACUGACGCUGAGGCGCGAAAGCUAGGGGAGCAAACAGG
rnacentral:rRNA from 1 species